rnacentral:rRNA from 1 species
UACAGAGGUCUCAAGCGUUGUUCGGAUUCAUUGGGCGUAAAGGGUGCGUAGGCGGCGCGGUAAGUCGGGUGUGAAAUCUCGGAGCUUAACUCCGAAACUGCAUUCGAUACUGCCGUGCUAGAGUCCGGAAGAGGAGAAUGGAAUUCCUGGUGUAGCGGUGAAAUGCGCAGAUAUCAGGAAGAACACCCGUGGCGAAGGCGGUUCUCUGGGACGGUACUGACGCUGGAGACGCGAAAGCGUGGGGAGCGAACAGG